rnacentral:rRNA from 1 species
AUUGAACGCUGGCGGCAGGCCCAACACAUGCAAGUCGGACGGUAGCACAGAGGAGCUUGCUCUUCGGGUGACGAGUGGCGGACGGGUGAGUAAUGUCUGGGGAUCUGCCCGAUAGAGGGGGAUAACCACUGGAAACGGUGGCUAAUACCGCAUAACGUCGCAAGACCAAAGAGGGGGACCUUCGGGCCUCUCACUAUCGGAUGAACCCAGAUGGGAUUAGCUAGUAGGCGGGGUAACGGCCCACCUAGGCGACGAUCCCUAGCUGGUCUGAGAGGAUGACCAGCCACACUGGAACUGAGACACGGUCCAGACUCCUACGGGAGGCAGCAGUGGGGAAUAUUGCACAAUGGGCGCAAGCCUGAUGCAGCCAUGCCGCGUGUAUGAAGAAGGCCUUCGGGUUGUAAAGUACUUUCAGCGGGGAGGAAGGCGAUGUGGUUAAUAACCGCGUCGAUUGACGUUACCCGCAGAAGAAGCACCGGCUAACUCCGUGCCAGCAGCCGCCGUAA